GUCCAAACUCCUAAGAGCUAGGCUUAGGAAAUACCAUGUGUACAGUCAUCUUUCCAACACCUGCACAAGAUCAUAAAAUCUUUGUCUUUGAGCUGAAGCAGUCCUAAAAAGUCAGCCUUUCCAUUUUACAGAUGAGAAAAUAGACCCAGAGAGGUUAAGUCACACAGUGGUUUGUGGCAAAGCUAGAAACAUAACUGUGGUCUCCUCUUCAUAGUUCUUAUAAAGGAGAUUUGAUUAAUAGAUUAAUAAAUUGUUCUUUCCUGAUUGGUUAUGAUGUUGAACUACUUCCCAAAUUAUGUAACCAAAUUUCUGUGUGGCUCUGGUGCUAUUAGGUCAAAACUUUGGGGAACUAAGCAUGAGAUAGCAUACUCCUGUUUCCUUCUCUGUCCCAGGGAAAUACAAAUUCCCUUUUGCCUCAAUUAGAGAAGGAUGUCUAUUCUUGCUACAAAUUAUGAUUUAUGUCCUGGUGUCAAAUGAAGGUAAGAAUAAGAUCAAAGAAAGGCAAGAUGAUUGUGGAAGAGAAAGAAAAAGGAUUAAUUUAGAUUUAUUUAAUCAAGAAACCUUUAUUUCGUAUCUCCUAUUUCCAGGCUGAGUGCUAAGGAAUAAAAUGAUGAAUAGAGUAUAGCCUUUCUCCUCAAGGAGCUUACCCUUUAGUCAUGGGAGAGACAGACAUGCAGCUAGUUAAACCAUAUUGUUUGGUGGCCUGAACCAUGCCAGCAGUAGCCACUAUUAAGGAAGGAACUGAAGGGCACUUACUGAUUUGGGUAAUAGUGGGAAAAAUCAGAGAGGAGGGAGGAUUUAGAUUGAAGUAUGUGCUUCUAUUUUAGAAGGGGCUAUAUUUACUGUGUUUAUUACUUAAAAGUUCAUAAAAGCCAAUAAUGUGGGUUUGAGCUGUGUUAGUGGUGAGUCAACAAACAUAUCAGGAUGAUUUAACCUCCCUGAACCCCUGUUCUCUAAAUGGGAGAAUAAUAACUCUACCUGAUUGAGUUCUUGGAAAAUAACAUAGUGUAAUGGAAAGAGCAGGCUUUGGAGGAAAAGAGGAUCUGACUUUGCAUCUCUGUCAAUUAAUUGUGUGACUUUGAGCAAGUUAUUUAACUCUCUGAGCUUCACUUUCCUUAUGUGCAAAAUGGAUAACACCAUGGCAUAAGACAAUCCCAUGAAGAUAAGAUAUAAAAGAAGAUAAUGUUUGAAAAGAAAUAAGGAAGUGGAUGCUUUGGAAGAAUUAAGCAGGCAGCUUUUUCUGGAAACAGCUGAUCUAUAUGCUACCAAGGAGAGAAUAGAAUACUCCAAAACCUUCAAGGGGAAAUAUUUUAAUUUUCUUGGUUACUUUUUCUCUAUUUACUGUGUUUGGAAAAUUUUCAUGGCUACCAUCAAUAUUGUUUUUGAUCGAGUUGGGAAAACGGAUCCUGUCACAAGAGGCAUUGAGAUCACUGUGAAUUAUCUGGGAAUCCAAUUUGAUUUCUUUUAUGCCAUCUCUAGCAGUAAGUCCUCCAAUGUCAUUGUCCUGCUAUUAGCACAGAUAAUGGGCAUGUACUUUGUCUCCUCUGUACUGCUGAUCCGAAUGAGUAUGCCUUUAGAAUACCGCACCAUAAUCACUGAAGUCCUUGGAGAACUGCAGUUCAACUUCUAUCACCGUUGGUUUGAUGUGAUCUUCCUGGUCAGCGCUCUCUCUAGCAUACUCUUCCUCUAUUUGGCUCACAAACAGGCACCAGAGAAGCAAAUGGCACCUUGAACUUAAGCCUACUACAGACUGUUAGAGGCCAGUGGUUUCAAAAUUUAGAUAUAAGGGGGGAAAAAUGGAACCAGGGCCUGACAUUUUAUAAACAAACAAAAUGCUGUGGUAGCAUUUUUCACCUCAUAGCAUACUCCUUCCCCCUCAGGUGAUACUAUGACCACGAGCAGCAUCAGCCAGAACAUGAGAGGGAGAACUAACUCAAGACAAUACUCAGCAGAGAGCAUCCUGUGUGGAUUUGAGGCUGGUGUAGAGGCGGAGAGGAGCCAAGAAACUAAAGGGGAAAAAUACACUGGAACUCUGGGACAAGAGAUGUCUGUGGUAGCUGAGCCGAACACAUAGGAUUUCCGUUUUAAGGUUCACAUGGAAAAGGUUAUAGCUUUGCCUUGAGAUUGACUCAUUAAAAUCAGAGACUGU
rnacentral:sRNA from 1 species